CAUGUGCUGCAGUUGCCAGAGGAGUAGUGGGGGCUCUUAAGGGUGUGUGAUGCGGAUGCCACCACAGCCAUGCAGCCGUGCAGCAGUGCCAGAGGGCAGUGGAAAUAUGGAGGAGGAAAAUUAAGCUGUGAACUGGAAUUCCAUCAGGCUGUCUGCUGUGAAGCCCUGUGGCUUUAGCAAACAGGCAGCAGUGGUCAGAAAUGACACUCAAAAGAAAGUUGCAUGUAAUUCGUAGAGGACUUCCAGCUCCUGUGAAAGAACAUGCUUUUGUUCUGCACAAUCUUCACAUCUAAGGAGCUUAUGCUGUCUCCAGGCCUGAGAACUUUGUGUUUCUGUUGCCUUCUGUCUCUCAGGGAUGGUAUAAUGACAAACUGAUUCUUCUCCUUCCUGGUUGAUGAAUAGGGUUUUUUGUUUUGUUUUGUUUUUUGAAUUGUUAAAGAAUGCCUAGCUUUAAGCUAUUAAAUGUAUUUGGUGAUUUUUACAAUAGAUUCUCCACUACUUUUUUGGUGCACGUAAUCUUCAGGAUCAUUAAAGGGAAAAUCUGAGAUUUUCCAUGCUUGAUGCUAAUAUAGUACUUGUUUCAUAAUGAAGCUUGAAAUGGUGGAUUUUUGCUCUGGAUGCAAUUACAAAACACCAAGAGCUCCACUAAAGUAAAUUAAUUUGGGAUAAUUUGCAUCAGUUGAAUUCGUGGCCCUGUUGACAUUAUCAUGCCUGCUGGAGAACAGACACCAGCAGGGGUGAUGCUAUUCCAUACCCAUGUGGAGUAGGAAUGGCCUCUGGGGAUUAGAAUGAAAGUAGAGGAUGACUACUGCUAGCACAAGAUCCAGAUGAGCUGUCUGAAGUAUAAUAAGAAUGAAAUAAAAGGCAAGCUCACCAUAACGCAGUGAGAUGCAGCUGAAAGGAUGUGAACCUGGUGAAGUUGCUCCACUUCAUGUUGCCAUAGAGGGAUCAGAGCUCAGAGCAGCUCCUCCAGCCUGUCUGUGAUCAGGGAUGGGAAAAUUCUCACAUGCCCUCAGGUGUUCAGGUCAAACUGAACUGCUUAGGGGCUGUACCUCAAAGCCACAUGGAAGUACUGAAUACUGCUGAGCCAAAUGCCCUGUUUCUCAGGUGGAGCUGGCAGGAACCAGUUCCUCAGCAGCUGCGUUGGUUUUCUAUUUGCAUCUGGAUGAAAAUCAAGAGGUUUCUUUUUCUGUGUCAGACUUUGAAUUCAGAACUUUGACUCCCUUCGGCUGUCCUAGCUCUUACAUGUUGAUGCAGUUCGCAGUACUGUAGCUACCUGGAUCUAGGCUUUUGUUUCAGGUGACUUGUACUACAAUAUUCUCCUCGGGACGAGUCUUGCUAGAGGCACUAUCUCCCCUCCAGCCCGGGGAGGAAACAUCUGGUCGCUCUGGCACAGUGGAAGCUUCUGGGAUUGUCAUUUUGUUUGGCAUGAGUGAAGUAGCCAUAAGAUUCGGUAUGCAUUUUUAGUAUGUUGCAGCUAUGCUCCUUGAGCCAAAGGAAGACAGUUUAUAAAGGAAGCAAAAGAACAUUUUUACUCAGCUUUUUGUGAUAGCUCUUCAUUAGUAAUAUUCAGUAAAAUAAAACCUUAUAAAUGCUCAAUUCAGCUGCUGUUAAAGUAAGAAUAGAAUUGCUAUUGAAUUUAAUGAGGUCAAUCUGGGGCUCCAGAUGAAGGUAAUGCAAAGUAUAGUUCCAUCUCGCUCCUUUCCGAAAGAAAGCUGGCCAGCUGUGAGAUGGCGAUUCAAGAAGGAUGGCUGUGCCUCAGGAUCCAUUGCUCCAGCUGUAUCAGGCUGUUCUGGUGAGCCAGAGGUUUGUGCUCUCCAGCCCAGGGCCAGGGAAUUACAAAUGUGUACAGAAAUAGAAGCCAGAGUUCAGGGUGAGGACACACUGCAACAAAGCCUAUUGGAAUGGGAGAAUUGUAAUAAAUGGCAUGAAGAAAGCAUGAUCACUUCAAAUUCUUGCCAAAUGUGACUUGAUUGUCACUUUUUUUCUUGGGAAUAUGGCCUUACUAUUAAAAAAAAACAACAAACUGGUGAUCUCUUUGGAAUUAAGGGUUUAGGGUAUGUCAUGGGGAAUUAGACAUGGGCCUCCCAUUAGCAAGAAUUUUGACCUCCAUGCAUAGCUCUGAAAAUCAAUCCUAUCUCCAGCCUCAGUUGUGUUUUUAUUUCAACUGAGGAACAGGCAUAGAUAUCACUGAGAAGAAGAGUAAAUCUCGUGAUUGGAAACUUCUGAUGUCAUUUUCAAGUGCAGUUAUAAAACUGAGUGAUGACAUGUAGAUGUCCGCACCCAAAAUAUUUACAAAUCAAACCGUGUGGGUGCCCAGAUUUUAUGGUGGCAAUAAAACGUUGCUUAGUAUUUCCUGGUAAAAUUUUAGUACUGAGUAAUUACUAUUAAACAGAUGGAGAAACAGGGCACUGUAGCAGAGUUGAGAGUAUUUUUCAUAAGCCUUGCUUUUUCCCAUGGGCUUACAGUGUCUUGACAGUUCAUCUUAGGCCCCUUCCCCAGUGUUUAUCAUAAGCAUGUGCUUUUGGCAAGUAGCUCCACUGAGGUCCGGUCAAGUGAUGAUGACACUUUGAAAUCAACAGGAGCAUAAGGUGGCAGUAAAACAUAAGUAAAAAAUAAUCCCGCUGAGCUGGGAUUUGCAACAUUGUGCCUUGAGUCCCACCGCAGCGUGGGGUAUGAUUUGGAUUCUCUCGUGCCUCAGUUUCCCUGUGUGUAAACAGCAGUGAUCCUUGUGAGGAGGGAAGGUCUUUUGCCUUUUGAAGAAGAGAAGUACUGUGAAAAGCCUUGCUUGCUAUUAUGCAUAUAUUGAAAACAAAACCUAAUCAGUGCUUUGCUAGGUUGGGGAUGAAUGUGUUUAGCAGUUCUUUUGAUCAAGCUGUAGAUUACUUAGGCAGUGGUUUGUAAUAAGAGCCUUAUCAGCAACAAAAACCCUUCUGUCAUCCUCAGACAAGCAACAGUCAUGUUCUAAAAUGGUUGCCAAACGUGUUUAUUUGAAGAUGGUUGUUUCUAGUAUAGCUGAAACCAUUGUGUGGCGAGAGUUCAAUUGCUUCCUACUAAAGCCAACAUUCACAGCUUGGAAAACUGUUAGAUAAAUGUCAGUUUCUGCCAUAAUUUGUGGAAUCAAUGCAAACUGAGUCAAAGAAUCACAAACAGUAAUGUGAAAAUAAAAUGAUCUGCGUUAUGGUUUUUAAGUAAAUGAUGAUAAACUAAUAAAUGCCAUUAGCUACUGCCAUUACUUUGUUGAA